rnacentral:rRNA from 1 species
GAUGAACGCUGGCGGCGUGCCUAAUACAUGCAAGUCGAGCGAACGGACGAGAAGCUUGCUUCUCUGAUGUUAGCGGCGGACGGGUGAGUAACACGUGGAUAACCUACCUAUAAGACUGGGAUAACUUCGGGAAACCGGAGCUAAUACCGGAUAAUAUUUUGAACCGCAUGGUUCAAAAGUGAAAGACGGUCUUGCUGUCACUUAUAGAUGGAUCCGCGCUGCAUUAGCUAGUUGGUAAGGUAACGGCUUACCAAGGCAACGAUGCAUAGCCGACCUGAGAGGGUGAUCGGCCACACUGGAACUGAGACACGGUCCAGACUCCUACGGGAGGCAGCAGUAGGGAAUCUUCCGCUAUAGGCGAAAGCCUGACGGAGCAACGCCGCGUGAGUGAUGAAGGUCUUCGGAUCGUAAAACUCUGUUAUUAGGGAAGAACAUAUGUGUAAGUAACUGUGCACAUCUUGACGGUACCUAAUCAGAAAGCCACGGCUAACUACGUG